CAGUAGCCACGGUAAUACGAAGGGUGCAAGCGUUACUCGGAAUUACUGGGCGUAAAGCGUGCGUAGGUGGUGGUUUAAGUCCGUUGUGAAAGCCCUGGGCUCAACCUGGGAAUUGCAGUGGAUACUGGGUCACUAGAGUGUGGUAGAGGAUAGUGGAAUUUCCGGUGUAGCAGUGAAAUGCGCAGAGAUCGGGAGGAACAUCAGUGGCGAAGGCGGCCAUCCGGGACAACACUGACGCUGAGGCACGAAAGCGUUGGGAGCAAACAGGAUUAGAUACCCGAGUAGUCCCUGUCUCUUAUAC
rnacentral:rRNA from 1 species